rnacentral:rRNA from 1 species
AACGAACGCUGGCGGCAGGCCUAACACAUGCAAGUCGAGCGAAGCCUUCGGGCUUAGCGGCGGACGGGUGAGUAACGCGUGGGAACGUGCCCUUUGGUACGGAAUAGCCCCGGGAAACUGGGAGUAAUACCGUAUGUGGUCGAGAGACGAAAGAUUUAUCGCCAAAGGAUCGGCCCGCGUUGGAUUAGGUAGUUGGUGGGGUAAUGGCCUACCAAGCCGACGAUCCAUAGCUGGUUUGAGAGGAUGAUCAGCCACACUGGGACUGGGACACGGCCCAGACUCCUACGGGAGGCAGCAGUGGGGAAUCUUAGACAAUGGGGGAAACCCUGAUCUAGCCAUGCCGCGUGAUCGAUGAAGGCCUUAGGGUUGUAAAGAUCUUUCAGUGGGGAAGAUAAUGACUGUACCCACAGAAGAAGCCCCGGCUAACUCCGUGCCAGCCGCCGCAGUAAGAC